UGAUGGCCAUAUCACAUUGAAACAUCAGUUCUCAUAUGAUCACCAAAGUUAAGCAACAUCAAGCAAGGUCAGUACCUAGAUGGUUAACCACUUGGGAAUACCAAGUGCUGUAAG